UUUACCUAAAUGGAGGUUUAAGACCAUCUUGGUUAUCAAAGAAAACCUUGCACUGAAGCAGUGUUUUCUUUGGAGAGCAGUGAUCUUUGUGAUCAAAUCAAAGAUAUUUAAAGUUGAAUUGAUUCGUUUAAUAAAUAUUUGCUAAGCACAAACUAUGUGGUGGAUAACUGCUAGAUUCUGGAGAUGCACAGUGAAUUAGAUAGCCACAGACCCUGCGUCAGGCAAAUAAAGCAGCAAUCAGAGUGUGAUAUGGUAAGGACAGUGAGGGAGGAAGCCCUGGGGGCUAUGGGAGCAUGCAGGGCACAUAAGGAAAGUUUCUUGGAAGAAGUGACAUUUCAGCUAACCUGUAGGAUGAGGUAACCAAAUGGACAGGGAGCAGGAAAGCAUGCAGGUCGAGGAAGGAGCAUGUGUACAGGGCGAGCUCGGCUGGGGGGCUGGCAGGCUGGGGGCUUGGAAACAGUGGGCAGGGAGGAGCUAGCUCAGGAAGAAUUGCUAAAUCUUAUUCAGGAGCAGGGACUUUGUCCUAAAGAAAGAGGGAGAGUAGUUGAAGGAUUGAAAGCAGCAUUUUGACAGGCUCAGAAUGAAGUUUUAGAAGACUGUAGCGCAGGAGUGGAUUGACAGGGGCAAGGCAAGAUACAGAGACUGAUGAAGAGGCUGUGGGUGUUGUCCAGGCGAGAGAGAACCGUGACCCAGCUCAGGGCUGAGCAGGGCAGCUGCAAUGAAGGGGAUGGAUUUGAGAGAAAUUGAGGAGGCGUGAGGGAGAGAACUUGGAAUUCUGCUCAGUGAAGUCCAGGAGGGAGACUUCAGCUGAGCCAACCUCACAAUUCCAAACUGUAGUAACUUGGAAAUAUAUUGUGAUUUGUUGUUGUUACAUUGGCAGAAAAAGUGAUAUGUCCCUCUGUUUUCUAUUUGAUAAGAUCUUUUAGUGUAAAUUUGAGAUCUAAAGUAUUUGCCUAAUAUUCUAUGACAGACUUUCCACUUAAUAAUCUUGGGAACCAUCUUAGAUGUCACUGGGUAAUACAUAGUGUUCUGAUAUUUUGAUGGAACCACAAAAAGAUCUAAUGGGUUUUCAGUGAGUGAUAUUGACGGGGUUGGGCGUUGUUACCCUGUUAUUCCACCUUAAGCAUGUGAGGUCAGCAGAACUUUUGGUGGGGGCCGGGGCUGGGUCAUCCCCCUGGGUUUGUUCUGCAUGAGUGCUUCUGUAGCACUCAUGCAUUAAUUCACUCAGCCAGCACAUCCUCUCUGAACUCUCACCAGGUGUCAGCUCUAAGCUGGGCAGGGACGAGACGGGCCAGGUCUGUCUCUCAUGAAACUUAUGUUCUAGUUUGCAAGCAGCAAAUACAAACAAUGACAGUAAAGCAAAACAUUUUUUCUCGAUGGAUACCCAUGGAAAGAGCCCUGUGCUGGUGGUAAAGAAACCCAGUUCCAGUUCUGGCUUUGUUGUUUACCAGAUCUAUGGACUGGGGCACAUAAUUUGCCUUUUCCUGGCCUCCUCCCGUUCCUUGGCUAUAAAAUGAAGCUCAACCUCUCCUACAGGUGCCUGGCAUAUAGAAUAUACUUGAUACAUGGUUGCUAAACAAAUCAAUGUCUGCUUUGGCCACUUUACAGGCCCUGGUGAGGAUCAAAAGAGUCAUGUUUGUGACAGCCUCCCAUAGAAAGCGAAGCGCUACCUAGAUGUAAGUUGUAUUGAUAAGUAUGCUGUCCUUUAUAAAUUACUGUCAUCCUCCAUUGUGCAUAAAUGUAGUGAUGUGAAUUUCAGUAACUGGAGAAUGGCUCCUGUCUCCUCUUUUAUUUUUAUUUUAAAAAUUACAUUAGAAAUGUCCUUCCUCUAGAAUUUGUAGCAGCAUUUAUUUAACAUUUCUCAAGGGAAACUUUAAAUGGCAAAGAAUGAGGCCAGAAGCAAAAUGAAAUGGUGUCAGGUCUCGUAGUGACAGACUCAUCUCCGGAAGCAAAAACUACACAGUAGAUGCUUCUGUUUGAUGAGUUACUUCUGACGCUUGUGAUGUUGAACGUUUUUUGAAUAGCGCCAUCCAACCAGCUUUGAUGACUUUUGAGAGUACAAAUGAAACCUAGGGGACAAGUCUGUGCAGCCCUGUGGGUAAGAGGCAGGGCUGCAGGUGAGUGGGUGGGUCUGGCUCUAAUGGCUGCCUCCCCUUUGGGACCUCCAGCGAGCUGCCAUGUCUCCGAGCCUCAGCCUCUACAUCUGGAACAGGGAGGUAACGUUCCUAACUUUCUUAAUACAUCUUAAAUGGCUAAUCCAUGUGAGAUGCUUCUAAGGUAAGCUCCCAGGGUGUGGUAGUUAGAAUGAAUAGCUGAGCUUCAUUACUUACACCUGGAAGGGUCCUAACAGCAUCCCUUUGGCCUGAGAGGUAGAGGACCCAAAAUCUGCUGUUUCUCAUGCUUGUUUUCUGUUGUACAACCUUCUUUACUGCCCUCCCUGCCGUCUGACAUCCCUUCUGUGGCUGCUGCCCAUGCGUACCAGCAGGUUCUUAGUCAAGAACAAUAGAAAACCAGCUCUGGAUAUUUUAAGCAAAAAACCAUAUUUACUGGAAGCUUCUUCAUGAGCUCACAGGCUCCCUGGAAAGGCAGGAGGACAGACCUCUCAGAGGAGAGGUGAGAACAGGGCAGGUUGAGCAGCCAGAUCCAUGACCAAAGUUAUGUCCAGAACCAUCCUGGAGAGGAUAUUGACACUCAGGCACUGGAUGUUGAUGCCAUCUGGCACCUCUACCUCUGCUGCCCCUGAGAAGCAGUUGUUGCUGUUGCCACCACUGCCAGGAAAGGAUUCUCCCCAUCCCUGUUCUUUUCCAUGUAAACUUUUAAUGAAGUACAAUAUGCAUAGAGAAAAGUGGACAAAUAAGUGUACAAUUCGGGGAAUGUUCACCAAAUGAACACACUGAAUAACCACUACCCCUGCUGAAGAGAUAAAACAUGACUAGACCCCCAGAACCCUCCCCCGUGUCUCCUUCCAGUCACUGUCCCCCCAAGUGUAACCACUGUCUUUGACUUCUCACCCCAGAGCUUACUUUUGCCUUUUAUUGUACUUUCUAUAAGUAGGAUCACACAAUAUGUUCUCUUUGUGUCUGGCUUCUUCUGCUCAACAUUGUAUUUGCGAGGUUCUUCCAGAUUGUUAUGUGUAAUUCUGAUGCAUUUAUUCUCAUUGCUGUAUAAUACUCUACCAUUUGGAUAAACCAUCAGAUGGAUAAACCACCAUUUGUGUAUCCAUUCUAGUGAGGGUGGACAUGGUGUUUUCAGUUUUUGGCUAUUGGGAAGAGUGAUGCAGACAUUCCCUACAUGUCUUUGGUAGCCACAUGUAUGCAUCCCUAAUGGGGAAGUCCAUAGGAGUGGAAUUGCGGGAUCAUGGGGUGUGUGUAUGUUUACUGAUAACUGCUGAGGUUGAGCACUUUUUCGUAUGUUCAUUAGCUAUUUGGAUAUCUUGUUUUUUGAAGUGACAUAAGUUUUGCCCAUUUUUAGAUUGGAUUGUUGGCCUCUUUAUUACUCAUUUUAGGAGUUCUUUAUAUUUUCUUGUUACAAGUUCUUUGCUGAAUAUAUUUAUUGUGAAUGUCUCUCCCACUUGGUGGCUUAUAUUUUCUGAGCCUACUUUUUGCCUCUCUAGAUUUAAAUUUAAAAACCUCUGCAAAUGCGUGGGAUUGGCCUGCGUGUGCCCUGGUGCCAGGGAUCCCAAACAGCAAACAUCAAACCUUGUUUGCAGUCACAGGUAUCCGUUCUGAGAUGAUACAACUCCUGGGGAGGUGCUUUGGCCGGGACUUAGCUGCACACACCAGAAAUGACGCUGGCUAGUGUUAGCUGAAAUGCUGUGCUGCCAAGGGUCAGGUAGCCUCCUACUCCCUGGGAGGGCUGAACUAGCGGACUGGAAUCUGAGGGAAUAGUCCAGAUCCCAGACUCGCACUGCCUCUGCUCUGAAAGGGCCAACUGCUGACGCUGCUGCAGGGAGCCACAGAAUGGGAAGCUGAUGGCUGCAAAAGCUCGCGCCCUCUGCCACAGUUCCUGCCGCCACAAUGGAUACCUUUUCUCCUGCUCACUUCCACAUUUAAGUCCUGUGUGAAUGCAUGUCAUUGGGGAAACCUGCAUCCUUGGAAUCUUUGCUGCAGGUCAUUUUUGGGUCUCCAGCCUCUCUGGUAUAGGUAGAGGGGAGAGCUCCAAGCAGCAAUGGGCAGCUCUGGGGCAGGGCUGCUUCAGUAACUAGAGGAACUGAAGAGCCGUGUGGGUGCUGUGGUGGCCGAGUAUUCUAGGUGGGAACUGUGUGGAGGGUUGAAGUGCAGUCUCAUGAUUGGCAUGUGGGAAUAAACCAGCCCAGCUGUGUGCGAGGUUCCAGAAGGUCAUUCCGGCACUCAUCUGUUCAGCCAUUGUGGUUAGUGUUCUAGAGCUGCGCUGAUAAAGCAGUAUGAACUGGAUGGCUUAAAACCACAGAAAUUGUCUCACAGUUCUGGAGGCCAGAAGUCCCAAAUCAAGGUUUCAGCAGGGCUGUUCUCUCUCUGAAGGCUUUAGGGGAGAAUCUGUUCCAGGCCUGCAUAGCUGCUGAGGUUUGCUGGUAAUCCUUGGCAUUCCUUGGCUUGUAGAUGCAUCACUCCCAUCUCUGCCUCUGUGACUCUCUUCCUCUUCUUAUAAGGACACCAGUCAUAUUGGAUUAGGGCCCACCCUAAUGAUUUCAUGUUUACAUGAUUAUAUCUUUAAAGACCCUAUUUCCAGAUAAGGUCGCAUUCACAGGCACUGGGAGUUAGGACUUCAUCGUAUCUUCCUAGAGGACACAGUCUAAUUCAUAAUACCCGUCAUCAAUGCAGGCCAUGGCUGGACCCUCUCCUUUGGCUGCUCUGGAUCCCUGGGCUUUCCCAGAGCCACACGUCCCCACACAACUGCUCUCGGUUGGCCUGGCCCUCUUCCUAGUGUUUGCCUAGGCAGAGUCCCCUCAUUGUUUGAGACUGUACUUCACUGUACCUCCUUGAUCCCUCUAGGACAGAAAGGACCAUUCUGUCUCCUGAGCUCCCACCAUUGGCAGCUUAUCCUUCCAUUUGGAGUUUGUUUUUGAAGCCAACUUUUUAUUGACAGCUGAUAUGUAUGUAACAUACAACAGACUAUACAUAUGUAACAUACAUACAGAAAAGUAGGUAAACUGUAAAAGUGUAACUCAAUGAAUUUUCAUGAAGCGAACAUCCCCUUUAUUCUGAAUUUAUUUCCCUCUGCUUAUUGAAUAGUAGCUAGCAAUUUACAGGCCUCUUUCACAAAUUGGAAUGUUCUUUGAGGCCAGAAAAUGUGUCUUAUUUAUCUUUAUAUUUACCCCCUCUCCAGUUUCUAGCACAAUUCCUUUAUAUAGCAGCCCACAGGAAGUACUUGCUAAAUUAGAAUUUAGAAGAUUGGAGGUGAAUUUACCAAAUGAAUCACAGUCAGCUUGAGCUAGUAUUGAGUGAAAGUCACACACAAGGCUAAGGACUUUGCUCCAGAUUAGUAGCUUUUGUCUUUCUUUGUGUCUGGAUUCAAAUUGCUGCCUGUCAAUUUUUUUCUUGCCUAUGGCCAUUUUUUGUGAAGGUCCUCUAGAAAGCAUAGCCCAAGGCGAGGAUUAAAGAGCUGACACUUUGUUUGAGAGAUGCAGUCCCAGUGCAAUGAGACAGAAGUGGGAAGUGGAAAGAUAAAAAUGACCAUGAUGUAGUGCGUACCUUGCUGGAUGUGGCUUCAUGCGAGCUACAGAGAGACACAGCAGAUCUGGUGCAUGGACUUCUCCAGAAGUUACGCAAGGAGAAAACACAUCUCUGAGCAGUCUGCAGAGGGAAGAUUGGAGGGGGAAUUUAUAUGUCCCUUUUGCUUCCAUCACCCAUUUCCCUCUGUGGCAUUUCAUGAAAGUCCAGAAGUGGAGGGACAUUUGGGCAAGGAUGAGGCACCGACCGAGAGAGACAGAAAAGGAGGCGGUCGAGGGAAUCUGAGAAGGCGCACAAGGUUUGUGUCCAAUACGCUCCACACCUUGCGCUACUCAGGUCUGCUCGUGCCCUCCCAUGGUAUCAGCUCUCCUGCGAUGUGGGGACCUCCAUCCAUUCUCCAGAGAGAACGAAGACGUCUUUCCCCUUUCCCUGGGAGGGGAGGUGCGACUCCACUCAGUGACAGAGUCCCCUUCCUGAUGGCCAGCUGGAGUCGCCUGGAAGACUGAAGCAAGAAGGUUGUGAAACAAGCUCAUUCACUGCUCCUGUGGCUGGUCCUGAUGCUGUAAUUGAUAUCCAUUAUCUUCCUCCUCCACCAUACGUUCUAGAUCCCUUUCACUCUCUGCCAGCACUUUGGCUGGUCUGUGAUGUUUGUCCUGAGGGGUCUGAGUUCCUUGUUGCCUUGCCCAUUAAUAGCCUUUACCAGAAGUGGAAGUAUUAAGAGAUUCCCCAGGGAAUCCCCUGAGCUCUGUUCCAGACAUUCUUCUCCUAUCUCCACGUGUGCCACAAACCUAACUCCUCAUGGCAAUUAGCAUCAGUGACUCCAGCAGUAUAGUGACUCCCUUCUUGGUCUGUUGGUCACUGGCAUGAGGAGCCGAAGGUGGCCGGCGGGUAGCAUCAGCUUCUAGUUUAGUAGAAGCCUUUUGUGUUGUACCCCAGUACUCUGGAACUGGAACUUCUAACCCAGCUGAGCCCAAGUGUACGGGGAUAGGAAGCACAAACUCUGCAAGGGGUUACUAUGUGACGGUGAGCAGGGCCACUCCUGGACCCAUCUGCUGUGGUUAUGUAGGACGUGGCACCAGAUAUCAGUUGUCAGUUCAAGGCAUAUACUGCAUCCUGGAGGACAGAAGCUCAAGCCCAUAGUCUCCCCAGAGGGCACCUCAGCUGAGCCUUCAACAGGCCAUUCUGUUGUUCUGUCAGGUUGGCUGCUCCUGAGCGAUGGCAGGGUUCAUGAUGAGAGCAGUGAAUUCCAUGGUCAGGGGUCAUUGAUGCACCUUCUUGGCCGAAAUGGGUGAUUUGGUCUGAGACCGUGUUAUAUAGGAAUCCAGGCCAGCAGAUGAGGAGUCGAUAACUGGAACAUAGUGCUGCUGGCAACUCUGUUACCAGAAAAUGUGAUUUCAGUAAGGGCAAAUUGCUUACCCCCACCAAGGUGGAAGGGGUCUAAUCUAGUUGGUGGCCCUCUAGUUCUUCCCAAGGAGUGGGCCAUGCCCUGUAGGUUCAGUGGUGGUCUCUCCUGCUGGCAGGUUGGGUACUCAGUGGGGCAGCAAGAUGAGCCUUGGUGAUGCGGAGGCAAAAAGGGAAAGAAGGGCAACGGAAGGCUGCCAAGUGAUGGUGCUUUUACUGUCCAGCCACCGCUUCACAGCAAACUGCAAGGGUCACAGAGACCACUCGUGUUCUCUGGGCUCAUGGACUUCUCCAGAAGGUUUGCAGGGAUAAACCAUACCUUGGAGACAUCCAGGAGAGAGUAAGUAAGAGAUAUUUACCUGCCUGCUUCCCAUCCAUUUCCCACUUCCCACUGCUCAUUAUUCAACCUGUGAGGCGCUAACCCUUCCACACUAGUGAGUUGCAAAGACCCAGCCUCUUGGUGGCCACUCACGAAUCCAGAUCCUGUACUCUGAGAUUCAGCUCUUCUUCCAAGUCCAGAAAUGGAGGGGUGACUCAGGCCAAAUGGGGCACCAAGAGAAGGAAUGGAGGAGGUGGUGAGGGGACUCUGAGCUGGUGUACAAGGUUUGUACCCAAUACAGGUGGGUUAGUCACUAGCCAUAGUGCUACAUUAACUAUUACAGCUCACUUAGUGCUUCGGAAGUGCUACGUUAACUAUUACAGGCUUCCAAGUUGUUAUGGCAGAUGUCACAUUCUCAUUUCUGGCAAGGAUGUCGGCCCUCAGUACUACCGAGUAUUGUUUGGUUGGGAGUUGGUGUGAUUCACUUAGAAGGAUGUUAGUUAUAUAAGGUAACCUUGCUUGCGGUUAAGUUUUACUGCAGGUGUUUCAUAUUUUGUCUCUACUUGUCCUAAAUAUGUAAAAUAUCCACCAAAUGUGAAGUAAUGCCUCAAAACGUGUCUCCUUAAAAAAAUGGCAGAAGAUGUAUGAUCAUGUAUGCUGAUAUGAGCUCUGAUAUAACUGGGAGGCCCUAGGACAUGGACUGGUUUGACUUGAGGUAAUGAAGCCACUGAAGCUGCCCAGGGCUCCAUGAGAAUAGGUUUUGGAUUGCUGCCCUCCUCCAAAGGCCCCUGGCGAGGAGGAGGAGUUGCCACUGCAGCUUGUAGGACCCAAGUCCAGAGUGCAGUGAAUGGGGCCUUAACUUUUCCACUGUCUGGGCUGUUGGGUGGCCCUGGAAGGUUGAUUCUUAGAGAGAGGCCUACUGCAGCCAGAGCUCUCAAUAGGGAGACACAAAACCUUUAUAUACAACAUGGGUAGGUGCACCCCUCCCAAAAAACCACCUGAAUUUUAGGAUAUGUCCCUAAAUUGUGGGCCCUUUCAGGACUGACUCUGAAGACAUUGAAAUUUUUAAAAACUGACUAAAUAGGACAAAAAUUAUCACUUUGGCCACUGGUGGAGAAUGGAUUGGCCACAAAUAUCUAAAUGAAAAAAGAGCAGAGCUAAAUUCCAAGAUAAGCAAAUGCAUUGGACCUUGAUAAUUUUAAGGGGCUUUCAAUCUCCAACUUCACAUAUGCCACGAUAUAAUUUCUUCCAAAUAACACAGAAAAGUAAAACAGAAAAAUUAAUCUCCUCAAGUCUUUUAAUGAAAAGUAACUUUAGUUACAAUGAGUUAAGCUUAAAUUUAGAUUUGGGUCCUGGGUGACUGGUAAAGCUUAUCUGCUAUAUUUUCAUUUCCUGAAAUUCUCUUGUUACUUUUCAUAUCCACCUGUUCUUGUUUCAUUUUUAGCUACUUUUGUUUCACAAAUUAUUCUUCCUUUUAUUGAUGUUAUUCCUUCAUCUUUGAGAAUCCUAAAUCAAUUUAUUUUCAUUUUUUUCAUGUUUCUCUGAUAGUUCCGUUUUGUCUGAAGUGAUUCAUCUUCUGAGUGUUAACUUUGUUGGCUUCUUUAUUAGCAUUGAUUUUCUUCAUAGGUUUUGAAUUUUGUUUUUCAGAGGUUCUGCCUCCCUCCCCGAGCCUUACCUACCACUCUACUCUUCUUGAUCUGGUGAUUUUUAAAGUGUCUCCCCCUUGACCGCUGGAGAGCUUGGUCCAGAACCAGGCUUUAUGAUGGGGGCUUAGGGCUUCUGUCUUUCAGUGACAUUGGGAAUAUCUCCAACCCAGUCACUGAGCCUGAGGGCAAGUGAGUUCAUGUUUUGGCCACAAGGCUUCAUAUCAGCUAUGAGCAUGGGCAGAAUGUGAUGGUAGCAUUAUUUUUAAAAAAAAAUUUUUAAAUAACUUAGACUUACAGAGAAGUUGCAAAAAUAGUACAGAGAGUUCCCAUAUACUCUUCACCUAACUUCCCCUAAUGUUAACAUCUUACCUCACCAAAGUAGAAUCUUUAGGACCAGGAAAUUAACAUUGUUAUAAUACUAUAAACGAAACCUCAGGCUUUAUUCAUAUUUCACAAGUUUUUCCACUGAUGUCUUUUUUUCCAUUUUAUGAUCCUGUCCAAGAUCCCACAUUGCAUUUAGUGAUUUUCUGUUUCCAUAAUUUUAUCUACUUUUAUUAAGGAAGAUCUCUCUCUUCCCCAUUUAUUUAUCCCUUCAGUUAUUUACUUGUAUCAGUAUGGACUCGUGGGUAUUUAUUUUAGUUGAUGGAUUGUAAUCCAGUACUUCCAGCCAGCCCUGAUUUCACAUAGUCACCUGGUUUCCAUCUCCCCGUCUUGUACAGGGUACUUCUGUUUCCUGUUUUCCGUAGGAACUUCUGGAACUCCUGGCUACCUCUUCUUUCCUGACAUUAGGCCCAGAAGCCCACUAUUUUUAAUUUUGGGAUAAAAGUCUAAAUGCUUAACACAACCUACAAGGUACUACAUUUGAUCCCUGCCUUAUUUUCUAGCUUCAUUUUUCUCUUGUCAACUCUCUUGUUCUCAGUGAUCCAGCCACACGGAACCUUUUCCUGUCUUUGAAAGCUGUAAACUUCUCCUCGCCUCAUAGUCUUUGCCACUUUUCCCUCUGCCUAGAACACUGUCACCCCAUUCUUCUUUUUUGAACUAAACCAUAGUGUCUUUUUGGUUUGUUACUAUGCUAUUUAACAGCUGAACAAUCUCUAGCCUAAAAGUCUUUAAAUCUAAAACGGCAAGUUUCCAACAGGUACGCCCAGCUUUGCCAGGUUUGUAAAUCAGAAUGCGUUUCCUUCAAGUGAAAGAUAUCAGCACUAAGAGCUGGAGGUUUUUUCAGGUGUAGACUGAGUCAUCUUCUCUAAGGGAUGUAACCAAAGCAUGAGGGAAUCAGAAAAGGCAGCAACUGUCCAGAUGAAAGGUGAAUGUCUUAUUGAGUGUCAAGUCAUUUGACUUUAAGAACUGGUAGAAGAAUCAAGAAAAUAACAAACAAUAAACAGUCGGGGGAAAUAAUGAACAUUCAAGGGCAGCAGAAUUGCCAAAUGAGCUCCUGCCUCUUGCAGUGUUACAUGCUGACCAAUUCCUCUUCUUUUCCCAGCACCCCCUGUGAAAAGAGACUUGGUCUGUCAUGUGGGGUUCUGAAUUUCCUUUGAGUAUCUAACGGAGUGAGUUAAGUAGAUCCAGUCAUGAUGGUUGGAUCUCAGUUUUCAGUCACUGGUCACAGUUGGAAGUGGCCCACAUUUUAGUCACCUCUGCUUCCCCUUGCUUUGGUACCAUUAGCUCCAUAAUCUGGUAACCAACAAAGGGGCAGUCCCUUGACAUGAGGUUGCGCUGUGUUAGCCCAGCCAUUGCCUUCGUCUCAUUGGUUGUAGGGCCAGAGCAGAAUGGUGACAUCCUUGCUCUGCAGAUCUUGGUACCCGGGUCACUCCUGCAGGGGCUGCCUCCAAAUCCACCCCCUGGGGUCCUGGGUCUCUAAUUUCAGUUUUAGUGUAAGGUUCCCACCCUGCUCCAACUCUGUGGUUCUGAGACUUAGUGGAAAGAGCCUGGGAUGGGGUUAAUGGGCCGUGCUGCCUAUCAGGACCCUGGGCAGUCACCUUCUCCAUUUCCUGGUGUCUGCGAGGGUUCAGACCAUAGCGAGCAGCCCUACAUAUGGCACUGAUGCAGACCCUCCUCCUUCUGCCAGUCUCUCUACUGAGUCCCUCUCAACCAAACAUCUACCAGUCAAUCCCAAUAGGCAUUAUCUGCCAGCUCUGACUCCAGGGCCUCUCCCAGCUCUAAGGGUCUGAGAUUCUCAGGAUUUGCCUUGAGGCUUUCUUCAGUCUAGAGCUAUUGAGUUUGGGAGCCUCACCCCAUACCUUCUCUUACAUCCUACAGAAAUCAGGAUGAAAUGGCCCACACCUGCCGUGGCACCAUCAACCUGUGCACCGCGCACUUUGACAAGGAGGACUCUUGCGGUAUCAUGCUGACCAAUGGGGCAAGGACCUACCACCUCAAGGCCAGCUCAGAGGUGGAGCGGCAGCACUGGAUCACCACUCUGGAGCUGGCCAAGGCCAAGGCUGUUCACCUGAUGAGCAGCCACUCAGUCUGGUUCCUAGACUUCAGCAGACCCUUCAGAUGCUGUCGUGGGUCAGCUCCCGGAGCAGCAGUCAGACGUGGGAGUCCAGGAGCGUGCACCUGUGCUUGGGGCCAGACUUUUUCCCAGGCCCUUUAUGGAGAUUGAAAACCAUUUAGCCAGAGCUGCUGCUUUUGCCGAGGUGGAAGGCCCCCUCAGAUGUCCUGAGCAAGAUGUUUUAUUUUUUACUUUAAUACAUUUAUUUUUUAAUAUAUUAUAUCUUUAUAUGAUUUAUACAAUUUCAAAAGCAUAUAUGGUGAAGUCUGCCCUUGACUCUUGUCCUCAGCCACACACCCUGUUCUCCCACCCAGAGGCAACCAGAGCUACCAGUGUCUUGUGUCAUUACAUGUAUAUUCAGAUAGGUACUUAUUUUAAAAUAAGCACUAUCCUCUGCCUUGCUUUUUUUCAAUUUAGAGAUUUAUCUUGGAAUUUUUUCCCUACCAGUACAUAAAAAAACUUCCUCCUUGUUUUUAUAACAGUACAGUACUUCAUUGUGUGGUUGUACUGUAGUUUAUUUAACCUAUAGCCUGUUGGUGAAGAUUUAGGUUGUUUCUUUAUUUUGCUAUGAUGCACUGUGUUCAGUGAGUAACCUUGCAUUUCAUUUCACGUGUGUAUAAGUAUAAACAAAGUGUACGUUCCAGGAAGAGGGGUUGUGGCUCAAUGGGAGUGUGCAUUUGUAAUUCUGAGAGCUUGUCAAGCUGCCUUCCAUAGGGGUUUACCAUUAGAUGCCUACAGCAGUGUGUGAGAAUGCCUGCCUCUCCACAGCCUUGCCCACCCAGAGCAAUAGCAAAUGUUUCUGAUGGGUAAAAACUGGGUCCACACACACAGCAGCGGGGGGUCGAGGGGAGAUUGGGAAACUGAUCCUUCAUAAAUUGUAGGGAAAAUGGUGUAUGUUUCCACAGGUCUGUGUAUUUUUUUAGGAAGGCAGGGCUCCAGGUGAGAAUAAGUCACAGCCCCUGCUCUCCAGGAUUAUCUCAUAGGCUGGUUGGGGAGACGGUGAGACCUUUGGAAGUAGCUCUAGCACAAAGUAGAAUGAGAGAUGCUAGUGACAUUUGUCACCAUGCCCCAUCUCCCCAUGUUGGGGACUCUCCCUCAGUACUAGCUUGUUAACGCACAUUGAAGGCCAUUGAAUAUUAGUCUGACCUUCUUUUUAGAGGUCUCACCCCUUUGGAGCAUAGGUCCUCCCCAUAGUGACUCUUUUCCUUGGGGUCAGCACUCCUGGGGCUCUGGUGUGUCAGCAGUGAUGCUGAGCUUGGCAAGGGGUCCUCAGGGUACCACUCCAUUUCCCGUGAAGGAGGGUGUUGGGGCCAUCUCAGACAAGGGCCGUGCUGAGACCUCCAGCAGGACCUCUGAUCUCAAUUUGGAUGCCUGUAGAAAGCCAAUGUGGUGAAUGAUGUGGCUGGUGGUGUGGCUGGGCUCAGAACAACCCUGUUGGCCAAGUGUGGGAAC
ensembl:lncRNA